rnacentral:rRNA from 1 species
CCUACGGGAGGCAGCAGUGGGGAAUAUUGGGCAAUGGGCGCAAGCCUGACCCAGCAACGCCGCGUGAAGGAAGAAGGCUUUCGGGUUGUAAACUUCUUUUAAGGGGGAAGAGAAGAAGACGGUACCCCUUGAAUAAGCCACGGCUAACUACGUGCCAGCAGCCGCGGUAAUACGUAGGUGGCAAGCGUUGUCCGGAUUUAGUGGGUGUAAAGGGCGUGCAGCCGGAGAGACAAGUCAGAUGUGAAAUCCACGGGCUCAACCCGUGAACUGCAUUUGAAACUGUUUCCCUUGAGUGUCGGAGAGGUAAGCGGAAUUCGCUGUGUAGCGGUGAAAUGCGUAGAUAUAAGGAAGAACACCAGUGGCGAAGGCGGAUUACUGGACGAUAACUGACGGUGAGGCGCGAAAGCGUGGGGAGCAAACAGGAUUAGAUACCCGGGUAGUC